UGAACAUCUUCGUAAAAAUUUGUAGUAAGAUUACAGAAUUUGAGGUGUAUGCAACGACCCGAAACUGAACGCACGACAAACAGCGCCACCUAUCAAACUUUCACAUGUUUUGCAUCACUUAGCCUUCGAUGUAGAAAUAUAACGUUAACUAUAUUUCGUUAUUAAAAUGUGACUUUAAAGUUGUUUUAUAUCACUCCAAAUCGUGGUUGGAACUGGAUUAUAUGCUUGGAAAUUUCGCCAUCGUGGCAUAGUGGUUAAGCAUCUGGAAUUGUAAAUUAUAUGAUCAGAAAGCAUCCACAAUGUCAAGCACUGGUGUUUGCACCCACUGUGGUUGUACAGAAAUUGACAAGGACCCAGCUAGAGGAGAUGCUGUCUGUACAAACUGUGGGUCUGUGUUGGAGGACCAGAUCAUUGUGUCAGAGAUUCAGUUUGAAGAACACGCAACUGGGGCAUCCUCAGUCAUCGGGCAGUUUGUUUCCACUGAUGGUUCAAAGUCCCACUCUUUAGGAAUCAGUUUUCCUCAUGGAAUGAAAAAAGAAUCAAGGACAGUGACAUUUGACAAUGGUAGGAAAAGAAUCCAGCAGUUGGGAGUCCAGUUAAAAUUGAACCAGCACUGUAUUGACACAGCUUUCAACUUUUUCAAGAUGGCUGUCAACAGAAGAAUGACACAGGGCAGAAAGACAACCCACGUUAUAGCAGCCUGCCUGUACAUCGUGUGUCGGACAGAGGGUACACCCCAUAUCCUUCAAUUUCAGCGACCAGCUCCAGAUCAAUGUAUACAGUCUGGGAAAAACCUAUCUCCAGCUGUCCAGGGCUCUCUGUAUCAACAUCCCUGCCAUAGGUAAAGUCUACUUCAUUUUCCUAAAGACAGACAUUAACCUUAUUAAGGUAUUGUGUAUAACCAUAACUUUUUUUUAUUACAUGUAUGUAUCAUGUUUUUC
rnacentral:misc_RNA from 1 species